AUUGAACGCUGGCGGCAGGCCUAACACAUGCAAGUCGAGCGAGCGGCGGACGGGUGAGUAAUGUAUGGGGACUGCCCUAGAGAGGGGGAUAACUACUGGAAACGGUGGCUAAUACCGCAUACUAUCGGAUAACCCAUAUUGGAUUAGCUCGUAGGUGGGGUAAAGGCUCACCUAGGCGACGAUCUCUAGCUGGUCUGAGAGGAUGAUGAGCCACACUGGAACUGAGACAGGGCCGAGACUCCUACGGAGGCAGCAGUAGGGAAUAUGGUACAAGGGGAGAAAGCAUGAUGCAGCACUGCCGAGUGGAUGAAGAAGGCCUCAGGGUGGUAAAGUACUUUCAGCGGGGAGGCGUUAACGGCAGAAGAAGCACCGGCUAACUCCGUGCCAGCAGCCGCGGUAAUUC
rnacentral:rRNA from 1 species